GGGCCGUUAGCUCAGUUGGUAGAGCAGUUGACUCUUAAUCAAUAGGUCGUUGGUUCGAUCCCAACACGGCCCACCA
rnacentral:tRNA from 5 species